GGCCUGGUGGUGUAGUGGUAACACAUCCUCUAAGAAUGUAUCUGUGUCGAUGGCUAUUUAGGAGGAAAAGCCCUGUUCGAUUCGGGGUCAGGCCA